CCGGGAUGUUUCCAGCACUAUUUGCCGCUCCCGUAGCUCGGCCUGCCUCUCCAGUAGAUCUCGGAUCUGCUUCUCCACGGACUCCAGCUCCACUGCAUGCAGCUCGAACGUGUCCUCACCUGCACUCAAAGAAAAAGAAAAUGAGCAAUAUACGAGUUUGGAACAACAUGGGGGCCUGUCAGUCAGAGGAGGAUCUCAGGUGUGCGCUGGUGUCGCUGUAUCCCACAGACCCUUGUGUUUUGUUGUAUGUUAUUGAGACUGGACGAGACUAGGGAAGAUAUGUCCCGAUCCUGACCAGAGAGCAAGAGGGGGAGGAAGCUGAGAAAGAUGUAGGAUGAAAAAUAUGAAGAGUGGGUUUGAUGAUACUACAUCAUAACAAAACACAACAACUGGAAAAAUGGACAUAAAAGGCCUUUAGCAUCAAAGAUGUCUAGAGGGGAAUGACCCGGUGAGGUCAUAAAGCAGACAGUGAUGUCAUAUAGAGACUUUGUGUUUUGAGCGGGAGGAUUAUUCUGUAUUAGUAGUACACUCAUCUGUAAUCCCUAAGGACAGUCAGAGAUUAUCGCAAAUAAUACACAUCUUAAAUUAUGAAUAUAGUAUACUGUAUGAAUCCAUGUGCAUAUGUUUGCUUUUGGGUAUAUCUCUGCUUUGUCAGUGGGUGAUUUGGAGUUUUUGUACACAAAAUGGUAUCUGUGAAUAAAUGACAAAAUGUCUCAUGGUAUAUACAGAUACAGUAAAGACUUUUACAUUUACAAAAUAUUUCUGAUUUAAAUAAAUGCUGUUCUUUUGAACUU